GGGGAUAUAGCUCAGUUGGUAGAGCGCUUGCAUGGCAUGCAAGAGGUCAGCGGUUCGAUCCCGCUUAUCUCCACCA
rnacentral:tRNA from 1 species